UGUUCUUAUUUGCAUGAAACCCCGCCACUCGUCUGCCAGCGCCAGGUGACGGACUCAGCUCGCAGCACACAGAACAUCGCGGCCGCUUGAGACAACAGGAGCUUAUCGGUGCCAUCAUUCCCGGAUCAACUGCAGCUGCAAGGUUCAAGUUGAGUGCUUAUGUGUCUUAUGGGGUUAAAAUGGUAACAUCUUGCAGAUAUGGACUGGGACUAACUUGUCAUAGGCACGAUAGAAAGUAAAUGAAUUGAGUGUGUUUUGUUGACAUACCAAGGGAUGUUUCUGGUAGAUAUUCGGACGUGCAUUUUGUAAACGGAGGCUCUUUUUGCAGUCAAGGCCUCAGUCCGUUUUUAUUGUGUACAUGCCUGGUGUGUGGCUGAUUUUUGUUUCUGUUGGUUUCUGUGACUGUUGAUGACCGGAUUGUAUUCGGUCAGCUAUUGUGCGUAAAUUCUGUUCUUUACAAAACAGGGUCUUCCCUGGUUCACCAUCUGUUGUAAUUUCUGUUUUAUGUCAUGGUCAGUGGUUGUCGGGAACCUGGACCAUUACAUAAUCUGCUUUGUGUUGCUCUUUUGGGUCCCGAACCAAGAGAACAACACAGGCCAGAAAGGACGACAUGUGGUUGAAGAACCUAUUUGAUAUUAGUAGUAGUUAAUUCUCGGCGUAAACACAGUCACAGAAACCGAAUCAGCCAUUCAUCGGGCUUGUAUACCACAGAAACAGACUGAAGCAGCCAUAGCUUCUCGAAAUUUAAACCGAAACAAACGUCAACAUUACUUGGGAUUUCAUCAAAGCACACUCAAUCGUUACUACACAUAAAUUCAUCCCACUUUUUCCACGAUAAACCUAGAACGGAAGUUUUAAUCACAAAACAAGUUAGCUUUCUGUACUUUAACUUACGUGUAAGGUAUAUUUCCUAUAUUUUUGAGCCAAAAUAAUUCAUUUU